rnacentral:rRNA from 2 species
CGUCGUGAAGAGGGAAACAACCCAGACCGCCAGCUAAGGUCCCAAAGUCAUGGUUAAGUGGGAAACGAUGUGGGAAGGCCCAGACAGCCAGGAUGUUGGCUUAGAAGCAGCCAUCAUUUAAAGAAAGCGUAAUAGCUCACUGGUCGAGUCGGCCUGCGCGGAAGAUGUAACGGGGCUAAACCAUGCACCGAAGCUGCGGCAGCGACGCUUAUGCGUUGUUGGGUAGGGGAGCGUUCUGUAAGCCUGUGAAGGUGUGCUGUGAGGUAUGCUGGAGGUAUCAGAAGUGCGAAUGCUGACAUAAGUAACGAUAAAGCGGGUGAAAAGCCCGCUCGCCGGAAGACCAAGGGUUCCUGUCCAACGUUAAUCGGGGCAGGGUGAGUCGACCCCUAAGGCGAGGCCGAAAGGCGUAGUCGAUGGGAAACAGGUUAAUAUUCCUGUACUUGGUGUUACUGCGAAGGGGGGACGGAGAAGGCUAUGUUGGCCGGGCGACGGUUGUCCCGGUUUAAGCGUGUAGGCUGGUUUUCCAGGCAAAUCCGGAAA